GCAUUAGCUCAGAUGGUAGAGCACUUGACUUUUAAUCAAGGGGUCGAAGGUUCGAAUCCUUCAUGCCG
rnacentral:tRNA from 1 species